AGCGAGGCUAAGCUAGUGGGGGCAAAGUUUCAGUGCAUUCCGUUGAUGUAGACGGCGUGAAAACAGAAACAACAAGUAUGCCGGCUCACUGUGCUGCAUACAGUUACACACUACGUCGUACGAUUGAGACAAGGAAACUUGGAAUGACUUUUCAUAGGUUUCCCAGAGACUAUGGGUUGAGGAGGAAUUGGAAGUUUGUCGGCUUAGACCUGGUGUCAUUCCAUCAGUGUUAAACUUCCCGGCUCAUCUUGGAAGAGUACGUGCCAGAAAGACCAUGACCAAGCAGCCUUGAGAUCUGAGGCAGCGUCUCCCUCAGACCAAAGAACUACAGACUCUUCACAACCUGCUCAAACUCUUGGUACAGGACCUCACCACACGGGUCAAGAAGGUUUCCGUCUCAUUUCUACUCUGAAGCUCACCUUCUCCUGCUCAAACUGCUGACAAAUGUUUCUGCUGCUCUAAAGUCUGCUCUCCAGAACUUCCUAAAAACUCUCAAAGUCUCUUCUGCUGCAGGUUGCUUUGUAGAACUGUUGCAGAAAACCUCACUAAACCACAUGGAG
ensembl:lncRNA